AAAUAACAUAUUUUGUUAAAAAAUUUCAGUAUUGGUAUUAGUUUUUGUAUUAAAUUUUUAAAUAAUCAUCACUUAAAAUCUGGGAAUAUUAAAAUGAGUCGUGAAGAGUAUAUUGGAAACAUGUAACAAAAUAUAUUUUAAUCAUAGGUUUAAUUGCAACGAAGUUCAUUGAGUAGUAUGAUUGAGAAAUAAUUUUAAAAAUUAAAAUGCAGUCUCGUUUUAAUGUUUUGUAAGUUAAAUAUUUUUUAUUAAAAAAUUUGGGCUAAAAAGAAUCGAGAUAUUCGUAACAUUUUCAUAUUUUGUUCUUAUUGAAAACUAAUACUAGUACAAAAAAGAAAAACACAAUAAUGUACAUUUUCCCAAAAUCUAUCAUUUAAAAUUCGCAAGCUUUAUUGUUUAAAAUAUUUUAACAGAUGCUCGACUGUUUUAUUCUUAUCUGAUGUAACAUCAACGGUGUAACACAUGCUACGCAAAAAAAGUCAUCUACACAUAACCCAUUUUGCUUUGUUUAUUUAAUUUAUUAUUUAUGUAAUAAUCAAUAAUCGUUUACUAUAGAACUUAGCAGCGAUUUUUAUAAAGUAUUAUUUUUCUCUUGCUUCGUGAUUUUACGACAUGUUCUUAGAAUACAGAAUUUCAUGAAGAAAUUGGUAAUCAACUGUAGAAGAUUCUUCGCGGAUCGAAGAAUUAGGAAAGAAAUUCAAGGUUAAUUAACUAAGACACUCUGAAUUGAACUGAAAAACUUUUUCUCAAUGAAAGUUUUAAAAGCUGGAAAAAAUUUAAAGGAAUGUAAGUACGAGAAUUCUCUUAACAAAAGUGUAAAGAAGAGGAGAUAAAGUGAAUCCAACAAAUGCCGUAAGAAUUGAUGGAGAAAAUCAAAUAUCUCUUCUGAAGAAAAUGUUUGAUAGAAAUGAAGAUGAAAAAAAAUAUUGAAGAUG